UCCAUCCCCAUCAGGGGACCCAGAAUAAAGGCUUUGAGGAGCAUCACGCUCACCACGUUGUGGAACUUCAACAGUGGGUGCUUAGCAAUUGUUCAGGAGAUCCAGUGAGGGCUCAAAACCAGAUAUCUCCUACCCUGUGAAAGACCAAUGUCAGUGGGAGGACACCCACAUGUGCAAUAAAUGAAUGAGGCAGCAUAGAGGCACAGAUCAUCACGUUUAAGGUAUGAGGAGGGUCCAAGAAAGCCCAGGGCCAUCUCCUCCAUCCUGGGCACCUGACUGGAUCAGUACGCCGAGGAUUUUUUCCAACGCACACAUUUCAUCAGCCUGAAGAUGCUGCGGGCAUAUAUAGGGGUCCACAUGCCACACUCCAAGCUGCAGCGCCACGACCGCCUUCUCUACUCAUCACAGAGAAACCAUGAACCCAAAGAGCCAGGGUCUCUGGCUAUGGCAUCAGCUCCAGAGCAAGAUCCAGACGUCCCUCAGGAGCUAGCUCCUGCUAUCUCUGUGAUGCCCACUGCAGCUUCGCAGCCCAAGCUGGCUGAAGACACCACUCAUCCUGGAGCUCAGCAAUUAGAAGAAGCAGUGAAGCUCCCUGCAGAGUCACCACCAGUACAGGUGGUAGUCCCAUCUCUGAUUCACUGUCAGGAGCUGGAAGAGACACCUGCCCCUUUGGUGGACCCAGACCCUGAGCAGCCUCCAGCCCCAGCUGACAGGGUCACGGAAGUGCUGGAGCAACCACCUACUGCAGCUGAUCACCAGCUUCAGCUCCUGAGCAGUGGCGCAUGUUGGCUGCAGCCCCAAAUGAUGGAUUCCUUGACCCUGUCAUUGAAUUCUUUGUAAUUUUUGUGUUUGUAUAGAUAUACUUACUGU